UUCUCCACUUACUUUUCCAGAAGUCUCUGGAAGCAACUAAAGUUUUCUGUUCCAGCUGGACAGUGGGGGGAGCAUUUGGAAUCUCCAUUAAAGAAGGCAUGAGAAGGAGUGACAAAGAGAGAGAAGGGGAGAGAAGAGAAAAGAGAAAACAAAACCCAGAGCUGGGACACCCGUAGGGGCUCCAUGCUGAAAUGAUAACAAAUUCCAUGAAAGAAGCCAGAGAGUGUUUGGAUGAUGCUUCCAGGCAUCUAACGCAUGGAACAUGACCAGGAGGGCUGACUUACAUCGGAAGUCACAGGCCAGCAUGUGACCAAAACAGAGGAGACAGAUAUUUACAUCUUGGAGGUACUUAAGGCAUGGCGCAGUCUCCAAGGAGGAUGAUGCCUCU